GUUGAGAUGGCCGAGUUGGUUUAAGUCACUAGAUUAAGGUUUUGGUUAGAAAGGGCGUGGGUUCAAAUUCCACUCUCAACA
rfam:Ipomoea nil DNA, scaffold: scaffold1932, cultivar: Tokyo-kokei standard.